UGCUUACCGCUGUCAAAACCAAAAUUCAGGUUGGGAAUGAACUGAAUUGAAAUGUCAAACGUCCACGGACAGAAAACGUACCUGAGGAGGAACAGGGAGGAGCUUCCUCCACCUGCCAGAGCGAAACGAACCCAGAGAACAGCUGAGACACGCUGACAACAGACGGGACAAAUCACCAUGACAGAGGCUGCUGCAUCUACUGCACAUGCUGGAAGACUGAAGAGUGAAUGCAAUAUUUUUCUGUGACUCUUGAAAGAAGAAGAGGGUAAAAUUAGCACUCCCAGCUGUCGUUAGUGAGGAUGAAUCAGAAUACUGAAGUUUGGAAGACAACAAGCAGCCAGCGACCG